GAGGAAUAUUGGUCAAUGGUCGGGAGACUGAACCAGCCAAGCCGCGUGAGGGAAGAAGUAUUUCGGUAUGUAAAGCUCUAUCAGCAGGGAAGAAAGAAAUGACGGUACCUGAGUAAGAAGCCCCGGCUAACUAC
rnacentral:rRNA from 1 species